UCAUCUUCCAAUGAUUGAUAUUCGAUGACAGUUUUUACAAAACAUUCUUAGAAGUGUAAAUGUCUUGGCUUUCACUUUCCUUCUCACUCUCCUAGCUACUGUCAUUCCAUUCGUUGCUAUGUAUUACAACCCUAACCAAAACCUCUUAGCAUUUUGCGUGGACUCUAUCUUUCUGUUGCUGAACUCCUAGGCAAACUCUAUCUUGUCAGUCUCCCUCCCUGCCUUCUCUGCAUUCAUUCAUUCUUUCUUUGUAUCAAAUUCAGAACAACAUGUAUUCGUCUUCGGGCUUGAUUUUUUGAGGGUUCCAAGGGCACAAGGCCCAACCCAUGGACGACGAAAGCCUGAACGGGUCUUCUCGCGUUCCAUCGCCAACGACGAUGUCGUUUAAGGCAACAAACGACGCGUGGGAUGUUUUGUAUGCAGUUGUAGGGCAAGUUGCAAGGUUGAAGAUGAAAGAUUUAGUCUCUUCAAAGUUUGAUUUCGAGAACAGUGGAGUGUUGGAUGAUCUUCCUCCACCUAUUGCGGAGGAGAAUGCAUUUUUUCCAAACUAGGGUGUUUCCCAGACAAGGCCUAGUUUCAACGCUAAAGGGCUUUUUGAAUAGAACAAGUUAUAUAAAAAGCCUAAAGCAAAAACACAUACCCCAAUCAUUCAAUUGUGGCAUGCGAAUGGUAGAUGCCCUAAGGACACAAUACUCGUUAGGAGAACCAAGGAAGAGGAUGUUCUGAGAGCAAGUUCAGUCAAAAGGUAUGGUAGGAAGAAGCACAUAACAAUCCCUCAAAGUGGUCAUCAGGUAAAAACUGUAUUGAAGGGUACAAUAUUCUGCAGCCUAAUGAGUUCAGCUUGUCUCAGCUUUGGAUAUUAGGAGGCUCAUUUGGUUAACAACAUUGUAGCUUGCUGGCAUAUACAAAGAAAUAAGAAUCAGUAUUCAUUUAUACCAAGUGUGAAAUCUAAGUACUUGCCCUUGACUCUGAAUUAUAAUUGUAAAUUGUAAUGACUGUUGUGCAUGAUAACAUGUUAGCCCUUAUUUAUAUAGUGAUAACAACACACGACUAUUCACCUACUAGAAGAUAAGCUUUGAUGUUAUUUUUUUAUGCAUCGCUUUGAUUUUUUGUUUUAAUGUUUGUGCUAGUCCAAUUUUUUUUUAUUAUUUUCUUUUAUCAAACUCAUUUCAUGAUAUUUUGCAAAGUGAUGCAUAUCAAGCUAUUGGCUACUAAAAUUUUCUUACCUCAUGAUUUAUUCAAGUCAAUAGUGAAAUAGCAAUGGGUGCAACCAUUUCCCCAAUUUCUGCAUACCGAAACUCCCAGUUCAAUAUUAGUAUACUUAUCUGGAAGGUAUAAUCCCAAGAAUCUUCCUAGUGAUUAAUCUGCAAAUGGAAACCAGCCUUUAAGCAUCUGGGGUCUCAUCUCAUUAUUCUUCCGACUAGGUGUUUGGCAUGCGGACCACUAUAAUGUCUCAAGUGUUUGGAUUCUUCAAAACCCCUAUCAUCUUACAAGCAUUUGUAUGAAACAAGACAUGUGGAGAUCCAAGCCUAUGUUUGCUAAUUCAUAGCUAAUAUGGGAAUCUUGAGUUUUUACCGUGUUCACUUAUUAAUUGGCCAGUAAAAGCUUUUUUUUUAUCGAGUAUCAAUAGCAUUCUUUGUGGUAGUGACACCCUACGUAGAAUCAUCCUUAUAGCACAGAUCCCUGGUAUCUCCUCCCAGUUUCUUUUGAUCAGGAUAUGGACCCUAAUUUUAAUUGAUGAUGGGGACACUGUUAACAAUUCAGCAUGCAAGAACUUUAAAAAGUCAUGAAUUGAUUAUACUCAUGUCUAUAAAUGCACAGAACACAUGUUAUGUUUUCAACCUUCAUUCCCCUUUUAAUUUACACACAAUGGUUUUUUCUGUUGAUAAGCUAAACAAUAUACUUUCAUUUGUACAACAUGCUUAAGCAGAAAAAAUUAAAUAAUACAAGCAUUUUAAAAUAACAGCAAAAUUCUGAAGGAUCACAAACAUAUGUUGUCACACUAAGAAAAUUAAUUAAUCACAUUUAAUUGCAUCAAUUUUAAUUAUAAAUAUUUUUUUCUCAACUUACAAUUUAUUGAAACUUGGUAUCAAGGAUAAAAAAGAUCUUAUUUUGGAAGGUAUGGCAAUGAGAAUAAUCUUCUACAGUUUACCUCAAGGAGCAUUUUGAAAAGUUAGUUUUUUGAAGUUAUAUUGUUUUUUACUUGCAGUUUUGGCCUAUAGUUGGUUGGGUGAAUUACCAGUAUAUGCCUAUGCAGCUCCAUGUUGUAUUUCACAGCUUUGUUGCUACUUGCUGAUCUCGCGCAUCCCCUGGAAUGGCCUUUUGGAAUUUGAAGGUAUCCUUUUCCUUGUAGACAAUUGCAAUGUAGACAAUUCUCUGAAGUUGCACCAACACAAUUCUUAUAGAGGUACUUGUUAGAAGAAAUGAUAAUUGGAAAAAGUUUAGUGCCUCAAAGAUCUGUGCUGACAAAUUAGCAUCUAUUAGGAAGUUGAUAAAAUCAAAGACGCUUAAAAAUUGACUUUUAUGCUCUUGAUGCACUUACAUCAUGCUUUUUGUGAUUCCUUAUGAA